ensembl:lncRNA AABR07009634.1
CAGAAUGUUCUAUUACAUUUCUCAUCACUAUGACUAAACAACUGACAACAAGAAAGUAAAGAUCAGGAGCAUCUGACCGUCACAAGGGAAAAAUCAGAAGAUUGAUUGAGACAUUUGGCUGAAUGGAAUGGAAACUCCUCGGUGGUGCCUGUAUCCAAGACAACCAUGUCAAGAGACAGAGGCUGGCCAUGGCCACUGCCAAGCAGAAAGCCUGGAAAAGUGAAGAAAGGCCUGAUUGAUCACAAGAUUCUAUCAGAUGUCGAAGCUGGCCCUAGCUGACCUUGCAUGUACCCAGAACUGCCUGAUUUAAUCUCUACAUUAGCAGCUUCUCCUGGCUGGGAGUUCUAUCUGCAAGCCAUGCAUCAGCAUUGAGCUAUGACCUGAGUCAUGCUCCAUUCAUCUUCUCUGAAGGAAGGAAAUUAAACUAGAGGUUUGAAAGAGGAAAGUGUUCAAAAUACAUUCACAUUAGCUGACGCCUUGUGUGUGGGUGCAUUUGAGGAGCUUGAGCAACCAAUAAAAAUGAUAUGAAA